UGGGGGAUAUUGCACAAUGGGCGAAAGCCUGAUGCAGCGACGCCGCGUGGGGGAUGAUGGCCUUCGGGUUGUAAACUUCUUUUGCUCUGAACAAGGCAUGCUAAUGGGUGUGUUGAGUGUAGGGGUUGAUUAGCGCCGGCUAACUACGUGCCAGCAGCCGCGGUAAUACGUAGGGCGCGAGCGUUGUCCGGAAUUAUUGGGCGUAAAGGGCUUGUAGGUGGCUGGUUGCGUCUGUCGUGAAAGCUCAUGGCUUAACUGUGGGUUUGCGGUGGGUACGGGCUGGCUUGAGUGCAGUAGGGGAGGCUGGAAUUCCUGGUGUAGCGGUGGAAUGCGCAGAUAUCAGGAGGAAUACCGGUGGCGAAGGCGGGUCUCUGGGCUGUUACUGACACUGAGGAGCGAAAGCAUGGGGAGCGAACAGG
rnacentral:rRNA from 1 species